rnacentral:rRNA from 1 species
GAUGAACGCUAGCGACAGGCCUAACACAUGCAAGUCGAGGGGCAGCAUUGGGGUAGCAAUACCACAGAUGGCGACCGGCGCACGGGUGAGUAACACGUAUGCAACCUACCAGUAACAAGGGAAUAACCCGUUGAAAGACGGACUAAUACCCCAUAGCACAUCAUUACCGCAUGGUAAUAAUGUUAAAGAACUUCGGUUACCGAUGGGCAUGCGUUCCAUUAGGCAGUUGGUGAGGUAACGGCUCACCAAACCCACGAUGGAUAGGGGAACUGAGAGGUUGAUCCCCCACACUGGUACUGAGACACGGACCAGACUCCUACGGGAGGCAGCAGUGAGGAAUAUUGGUCAAUGGGCGAGAGCCUGAACCAGCCAAGUCGCGUGAAGGAAGACGGUUCUAUGGAUUGUAAACUUCUUUUGCAUGAGAGUAAAGUUCGGGACGCGUCCCGAUUUGCAAGUAUCAUGCGAAUAAGCAUCGGCUAACUCCGUGCCAGCAGCCGCAGUAAAAC